rnacentral:rRNA from 1 species
CAUGAAUCGGAAUUGCUAGUAAUCGCGGAUCAGCAUGCCGCGGUGAAUACGUUCCCGGGCCUUGUACACACCGCCCGUCACACCAUGGGAGCCGGUAAUACCCGAAGUCAGUAGUCCAACCUCGUGAGGACGCUGCCGAAGGUAGGAUUGGCGACUGGGGUGAAGUCGUAACAAGGUACC